GACGAACGCUGGCGGCGUGCUUAACACAUGCAAGUCGAACGGAAAGGCCCUGCUUUUGUGGGGUGCUCGAGUGGCGAACGGGUGAGUAACACGUGAGUAACCUGCCCUUGACUUUGGGAUAACUUCAGGAAACUGGGGCUCAUACCGGAUAGGAGCUCCUGCUGCAUGGUGGGGGUUGGAAAGUUUCGGCGGUUGGGGAUGGACUCGCGGCUUAUCAGCUUGUUGGUGGGGUAGUGGCUUACCAAGGCUUUGACGGGUAGCCGGCCUGAGAGGGUGACCGGCCACAUUGGGACUGAGAGACGGCCCAGACUCCUACGGGAGGCAGCAGCGGGGAGUAUGGCAGAAUGGGCGGAAGCGUGAUGCAGCAACGCCGCGUGCGGGAUGACGGCCUUCGGGUUGUAAACCGCUGUCGCCUGUGACGAGGCGUGAGUGACGGUAAUGGGUAAAGAAGCACCGGCUAACUACGUG
rnacentral:rRNA from 1 species